rnacentral:tRNA from 4 species
GCAGGUAUGGCGGAAAUGGCAGACGCGAUAGAUUCAGGUUCUAUUGAGGGUUUCUUCAUGCAGGUUCAAGUCCUGUUACCUGCA